rnacentral:ncRNA from 2 species
AACUAAAUAGAAGCGCCAGAACUGAUUGUGCUAGAUGAAUGAGCGGGUGAAAAUCCGGCUUGAUUUCGAAAUCAGUUGACGAGGAGGAGAUUAAUCGAAAAUUCGGCGGGAGUCUCCCGGUUGUGCAUGCAAUCGUUAAGUUUCAGCUACAAACCGUUUGGGUGACCAAGCGAACAGAAUGCUGAAAAACAUGUGAA